rfam:Camelus ferus unplaced genomic scaffold scaffold349, whole genome shotgun sequence.
GGAGAGCACAGCUCAGUGGUAGAGUGUCUGCCUAGCAUGCACAAGGUCCUGGGUUUAGUCCCCAGUACCUCCA